CUCAUUUUCACCACACUUAUUCAACAUAGUACUGGAAGUCCUACCCAAGCAAUCAUGCAAAAGAGAGAAAUAAAAGGCAUCCAAAUUGAAAAAGAGGAAGUGUGGCCAGGACCAUGGCUCACACCUAUAAUCCCAACACUUUGGGAGGCCAAGGUGGGCAGAUCAGCCAAAGUCAGGAGUUCGAGACCAACCUGGCCAACAUGGCAAAACCCCGUCUCUACUAAAAAUACAAAAAAUUAGCCGGGCAUGGUGGCAGGUCCCAGCUACUCAGGAGGCUGAGGCAGGAGACUUGCUUGAACCCGGGAGGCAGAGGUUGCAGUGAGCAGAGAUCGCGCCAUUGCACUCCAGGCUGGGCAACAAGAGUGAAACUCUAUCUCAGGAGAAAAAAAAAAAAAAGUAAAAGAGGAAGUCAAAUUGUCCUUGGCGCUGGCUAAUUUUUUGUAUUUUAGUAGAGAUGGGGGUUUCACCAUGUUGCCCAGGCUGGUCUCAAACUCCUGAGCUCAUGCAAUCCGCCUGCCUCGGCCUCCCAAUGUACUGGGAAUACAGGCAUGAGCCACUGUACCUGGCCUAUAUAACAUUCUUGAAAUGGCAAAACUACAGAAAUGGAGAACAGAUUAGUGAUUGCCAGGGGUUAAGUGGGAGUGGCAGAGAAAUGAAUGUAACUAUAAAUGGACAACACCAGAGAUUCCUGAGGUGAUGGAAAUUCUCUUUAUCUUGAUUGUAUCAAUGUCAACAUCCUUGUUGUGAUAUUGUACUGGAGUUGUGUAAGACUUUACUACUGGGGAAAAGUGAGUAAAGGGUACAUGAGAUCUCUCUGUAUUAUUUCUCCCAACUGCAUGUGAAUCCACAGUUAUCUCAAAAUAAACUGUUUAAAUUUUUUUAAUCUAAGAGGUAAAAAAGAACUGUAAAAAGUAAGAGCAAUUUUGGGAAUGGAAAGUAGGAAGGGAGUCAAAACAAGAAUGGCAGAAUGUUGAUCAGUGUUGAAACUCUGGGGUGGAUACGUGGCAGUUCAUAACUAUUCUGUUUACUUUGUAUGUAUUUGAAAUCUUCCAUAAUAAAAGAAAAAUUAAAUUAUGAGGUAGGAUACAGAAAAAAUAUUAAUAAUAAAUAACUUCUCUCAUCAAUAAUUAACUAUUAGAAAACAGAAUUUUACAACUGUAUUCAUGAUAAAAACCAUAACUAUAAAAUAACAGAGAAUUAACUUUGUAAUAAACUCAGAUAAAGAAAAUUACAUAAAUAUACUGAAAAUCCUAAAAAAAAAAAGACAAAAGCAGACCUAAAUGGUGGCCUAAAUAAAUGGAAAAACACACGAUGAUCCAGACUGAAAAGACUCACUACUAUAAAAAUGCCAACUCUCCUACAUUUAAUCUAUAAUUCCUAACCAAAAUUCCAGUGUUAUUAUUUAUACAGUCUAAAAAGCUCAUUCUAAUGUUACUACUGAAGAAAAAAUGCACAAGAUUUUGCCCUGCAAUUCUGGGGGGAAAAAAAGAAUGAGGGAAAACAUUGUAUAUCAGAUAUCAAGAUAGAUUAUGCAGUUGCAGAAUAUAGUAAAAAUUAAAUAAUGCAAUAUUAAUACUGAAUUAGGCAAAUGGCUCUGUCUAGAAAUAGAAUCAAGAAUUACAAAUG
rnacentral:lncRNA from 1 species